UUUGGUGUUGGUUGGUUAGUA
rnacentral:misc_RNA from 1 species